AGUUGGUGGAGUGAUUUGUCUGGUUAAUUCCGUUAACGAACGAGACCUCAGCCUACUAAAUAGGUGUAAUCUCUUCGGAGGUUAGAGCUUCUUAGAGGGACUAUCAGUGUUUAACUGAUGGAAGUUUGAGGCAAUAACAGGU
rnacentral:rRNA from 1 species